rnacentral:rRNA from 1 species
AGCGAACGCUGGCGGCAGGCUUAACACAUGCAAGUCGAACGGGCACUUCGGUGCUAGUGGCAGACGGGUGAGUAACACGUGGGAACGUACCUUUCGGUUCGGAAUAAUCCAGGGAAACUUGGACUAAUACCGGAUACGCCCUUCGGGGGAAAGAUUCAUCGCCGAUAGAUCGGCCCGCGUCUGAUUAGCUAGUUGGUGAGGUAAUGGCUCACCAAGGCGACGAUCAGUAGCUGGUCUGAGAGGAUGAUCAGCCACAUUGGGACUGAGACACGGCCCAAACCCCUCCGGGAGGCCGCAGUGGGGAAUUUGGGACAGUGGGCGCAAGCCUGACCCCCCCAUGCCGGGGGAGUGAUGAAGGCCUUAGGUUUGUAAAGCCCUUUUGCCCGGGAAGAUAAUGCCUGCCCCGGAAGAAUAAGCCCCGGCUAACUUCGU